rnacentral:rRNA from 1 species
GACGGAGGAUGCAAGUGUUAUCCGGAAUCACUGGGCGUAAAGCGUCUGUAGGUGGUUCGAAAAGUCCACUGUUAAAAAUUGAGGCUUAACUUCAAAGAUGCCGUGGAAACUUUCAAACUAGAGUAUGGUAGGGGUAGAGGGAAUUUCCAGUGGAGCGGUGAAAUGCGUAGAUAUUGGAAAGACCACCGACGGCGAAGGCACUCUACUGGGCCAUUACUGACACUGAGAGACGAAAGCGUGGGGAUCAAACAGG